rfam:Pleistophora mirandellae 16S rRNA gene
CACCAGGUUGAUUCUGCCUGGCGUGGAUGCUAGUCUCAUAGGUUAAGCCAUGCAUGUGUAAGCGAAGCAUUUUGUGGAGCGGCAUAAGGCUCAGUAACGGGCGUCUAUUUGAUCUCCUGAUGUGGACAACCUCUGUAACCGGAGGCCAAUACACAUGAGGCACUGUUUCCGUUUGGUGGGGUGUCAAUAGCUAUUUAAUUUUUAUAGCGCGGGAGAGUAAGGAGCCAUCCCAUCAGUUAGUAAGUAGGGUAAGGGCCUACUUAGACGAAGACGGGUACGGGGAAUUAGGGUUCGAUUCCGGAGAGGGAGCCUGAGAGAUGGCUACCAGGUCCAAGGACAGCAGCAGGCGCGAAAAUUACCGAAGCCUCCGGUGAGGGCGGUAGUAAGGAGACGUGAAUACGAUGUGCAGGUAAAUAAUGCACUAGUAACAGGAGGUCAAGACUGGUGCCAGCAUCCGCGGUAAUACCAGCUCCUGGAGUGUCUAUGAUGAUUGCUGCAGUUAAAGUGUUCGUAGUCGGGCUGCAUGACUGGCGUGAAAGACCUUCCUUUCAAGGGGGUACAGCGCGGGGAAAGCAGAGAAUAAGGAGCGUUUUGGGGUCAGGUUAUUAAGCGACGAGAGGUGAAAUUUAAUGACUCGCUUAGGAGCAACAGAGGCGAAAGCGCUGGCCAGGGGCGAAUCCGAUGAUAAAGGACGUAGGCUAGAGGAUCGAAGACGAUUAGAGACCGUUGUAGUUCUAGCAGUAAACGAUGCCGAUGCCGUGGAGCGAGUUUUAUUCGCUUCGCGGAAGAGAAAUUUAGUAGGGCCCUGGGGAGAGUACACGCGCAAGCGAGAAAUUUAAAGGAAAUUGACGGAAGAACACCACAAGGAGUGGAGUGUGCGGCUUAAUUCAACUCAACGUGGGACAGCUUACCAGGCCGGACGACCGCACGAGUGUAGUACACGAUAGGUUGAAGAGUGGUGCAUGGCCGUUAACGACAAGUGGGGUGACCUUUGGGUUAAGUCCGGGAAGUAGUGAGACCCCUGCUGUUACGAGUAAUGGUGACAGGACAGGUGCUCAAAGCACAGGAAGGAAGGGUCAAGAACAGGUCAGUGAUGCCCUUAGAUGGUCUGGGCUGCACGCGCACUACAGUGGUCACAGAAAGAGAUUAUUGAGAGAUAAUGGUGAUCGAGAGGGAAUGAGCUUUGUAAGAGGCUCAGGAACGAGGAAUUGCUAGUAAUCGCGGGCUCAUUAAGACGCGAUGAAUACGUCCCUGUUCUUUGUACACACCGCCCGUCGUUAUCGAAGAUGGAGUCAGGCGCGAACAAGCGAGAGCGAGUGAGUGCAGGAUUCUAGAUGUGAUACAAGUCGUAACAAGGUAGCUGUAGGAGAACCAGCAGCAGGAUCAUAA